GCCUCGCCCUCGCCUCCGGGAAAGAGCCCCCGCCGCCGGUAACCUUUAAGCAGCCCCGAGAGCUGAGGGCUCGGCUACCGGCCGCCACUCCCCCUAGAAGCAGUAACCCCGACCGCAAACUGCUGUCACUCAACAGUCUCUGAAGGACUGAACCUGAUGAGAUGAGUCUAGGGAAGGACAGAAAGCCUUUUAAAAUUACAUGUAAACAACGAGGGACCAGGGCAGGGAGGGCUGGGGUGGGGGGCAGUUAUUGCUUAAUGGUUACAGAGUUUCUCUUUGGGGUGAGGGAAAAGUUUCCGGAAUGGAUGGUGGUGAUGAUUGCACAACAUAAAUGCAAUUAAUGCCCCUCAACUGUACUCUUGAAAGUGGUUAAAAUGGGAACUUUUCAGUUGCAUAUAGGGUAACACCAUUAAAAAAAAAAAACAAAAAAAAAAACUAUUAAAAAGAAACUCCAUGUAAACUUACUGGCAUUGAGAUAUACAAAAUACAUUUUUUCAAGAAAAACCACGCCCUUCUUGUUUUGUAUGAAAAAGUAACACAUCCCCACCUAAGACCCCACUUGCAUGGACCAAUGGUGCCACGGACUGACUGGAAACAUGAUAUUCUGUAAUCCUGUGGCUACAAAAACCACCCUGGGGCCCUCGGAGUUAUUCCCCCUUCUCAGGAGCCCAAGAUGGAUAACGAAUUCCUCUCCUCAGCAGAUCAAUUGCCUCUACUUACAGGCUGGCACAUACAACCUCUUGCCCCACCACUCGCCCCCUGACUCUGGUGAGUGAUGACGGCCAGAGAGGAAGGGGCUUCUGAAGAGGAAGCUGAAAAUACUAAGAAAUCAACAUGGGCAUUUAAGAGCCAAGUCCUUUCCGCACCACAGAAUAUGCUUUGCUAUUUAUCUUGUUCCCCGUCUCUGCUUCACCAACUUGAUGGAGGAUGGUUGGACUGACAUAAAAACCAGCUCUACAAGAACAGAGGUGAUGGAUGGAGCUGUUCCAAGCACCAGCCAAAAUGGCUCUAAGAGAUGCCUCGGGCUCCCUGUUAACUGUUUUAUGAGGGGACCAAUACUUUUUCCCUCUCUUGUUUAAAGAAUAAAUUAGCAGAACAAGUACCUUCAAAACAGGGUAUUGUUAUACUGGAAGAAAGUGGAAAGCCUUUGGAAAGCCUUUGGAAUGUUAUAGAUGUGUGAGGGCAGUUAUAAUAACUGAAGCUGGGUUAUGGAAGGCUUUUUCCAUUUGCAGCUGUUUGGUUUCAGGGUACAUGGUUUAACUGGGUUGUAUUUAAUUCCAUGUAAUAACAAACUAUGCUAUAAAGUAGUCCUACCGUAGAAAUGCAAUGUUUCAGUGGUAACAGAAAGAAAAUUUUAUCAUCAAUGGGAGUCUUAAAAAGAAUGCACAGAAGCUACAAAUGAGCCAUGUUAAGGAAGUGGGGAGGGGAAAGAAUCUUAAAGAAAAAAAAAAAAAUUAAGGAGGGCAGAUUUGCAUGACUUGAGCUAAAGCAAAGACUCUUUCAACUCAGGGAGAACAAUCAAAUUGCAAUAAGGCAUCUUAUUCUUCAAAUGUUUCUUAAUAAGUACAACAGCAGAGGUUUCAAGAGUGAAUUUAGCAUUCUACUUUUUUGUUCCCUUCCUGGAGUGCAGAGGGCCUUUCACUACUUUUCUUUCCUCUUAUUUUGAAGGUUAAUUAUGAACUGGGAGCGUCUCAAGCAUCCUGGCACUUGGGACUCAUCCACUGUCUAAGAAUAUUGUCUGCCCUGCACAGCAAGAACUAACUUAGGAAGCAUCCAAAUUUGGAACUCCUUUCAGAGGCCUCGGGACCAAUUUGGAGUCAUGGCGUUCUAUGGAAUGACAAAUACCCACUGCGUUUCCACGUGUCUUCAAACAAGAGCACACUGAUCUCACUGCUGAAUUUGACCUCCACACUUCACCUCUCGCGGAGAAGGUUACUCAAGAGGACCAGGAACAGUGAAUUCAGUGUUUGACAGAGCUGACGUGACUAGACCACAGGUGUGGAGGUCAGAAGUCUCCGAUCAAGGAGCUGGCUGGGUUGACUCCUUCUGGGGCUCUCUGGAAGAAGCUACCCCAUGCCCCUCUCCCAGCUUCUGGUGGUUGCUGGCAAUCCUCAGCUCUCUGUGGUGUGUGGCUGCCUCUGUCUUCACAUCACCUUCUUCUCUGUGUAUCUGUGUCCUCUCCUCUUCUUAUAAGGCCACCGGUGCCUGGAUUUAGAGCCCAUUCACCUCGAGAUCCUUAGCUGACCACAUCUGGAAAUACCCAUCUCCAAAGAAGGUCACCUUCAGAGGUAUCAGGUGGACGUGAACUUGGGGAGGACACUAGUCACCCCAGUGUACUAGGACUCUGCAACCUGCCCCACGUGUGUAGUUUUCCUGCCCCACAUCUCCCACAGACCUUAGAACCAAAGUGGUGGGUAGCCUUGUCCUCAUGGACUUUGAGGAUGUGUAAGGAGGCGUGACCCUGUCCCACUGCGUUGUCAGUCUUGAGGAAAAAGAAAAAGGAGUCCUCAAAGCUCAAGUAGCCAAAUCUCCAGAGCCUUAGGUAGAAAAGACAGAAUAAAGGAGUGUAGUUGGCCUUGGGGACUGGGAAGUAAGGCCAGGGUGCUGUCUCCACACUGUCCCAUCAGCCCAGCCAGGAGGAAAUCAGAGCGUCACCCCUGAGCCCACUUCUCCGUCCACAGUCUCAACCCAAAUGAGGUUCUUCCUUACCUGUGGGGACAGGAGGACAACCCUGCUUUCCCCAUCCUUGCCCAGGGAAGAGGGAACCCCAACUCCUCCCUCCCCCAGCCAUUCACGGGCCACUUCAACAGCUUGUGCCGAGAGAUGACACAGUAAUGCUCCAAAGUCUCACUGGGCCAGGGAUGGAGGAAGCUGUGGGAGAAAUACAGGGAGGCAGUGACAAAGGCGCAUCGGAGGGCAGCACCACAUAC